AGAGUUUGAUCAUGGCUCAGAUUGAACGCUGGCGGCAUGCCUUACACAUGCAAGUCGAACGCGAAAGGGGGCAACCCCGAGUAGAGUGGCGAACGGGUGAGCAAUACAUCGGAACGUGUCCUGUAGCGGGGGACAACCUCGAGAAAUCGAGGCUAAUACCGCAUACGAUCUACGGAUGAAAGUGGGGGACCGCAAGGCCCCACACUAUAGGAGCGGCCGAUGCCGGAUUAGCUAGUUGGUGGGGUAAUGGCCUACCAAGGCGACGAUCCGUAGCUGGUUUGAGAGAACGACCAGCCACACUGGGACUGAGACACGGCCCAGACUCCUACGGGAGGCAGCAGUGGGGAAUUUUGGACAAUGGGCGAAAGCCUGAUCCAGCCAUGCCGCGUGAGUGAAGAAGGCCUUCGGGUUGUAAAGCUCUUUCGGCGGGGACGAAAUUGCGCGGGGUAACAUCCCGCGUAGAUGACGGUACCCGAAGAAGAAGGACCGGCUAACUACGUGCCAGCAGCCGCGGUAAUACGUAGGGUCCAAGCGUUAAUCGGAAUUACUGGGCGUAAAGCGUGUGCAGGCGGUUUCGAAAGUCCGAUGUGAAAUCCCCGAGCUUAACUUGGGAACUGCGUUGGAAACUACGAGGCUAGAGUGCGGCAGAGGGGGGUGGAAUUCCAGGUGUAGCAGUGAAAUGCGUAGAGAUCUGGAGGAACACCGAUGGCGAAGGCAGCCCCCUGGGUUAGCACUGACGCUGAGACACGAAAGCGUGGGGAGCAAACAGGAUUAGAUACCCUAGUAGUCC
rnacentral:rRNA from 1 species